UGGCAGAAUGGGUUGUACUAUGUUGGGAUUGGAGGAAGUGACUAAGGCUCUGGAUGGCAUAUGAGAGGCUCAGCUGAGAUCCUAGAGAAUUAAUUGGACAACAGGGUAGGAAAGUCAUUCUUGGAUGACACAGAGCUGUAACCAACAUCCUGAUGGCUUUAAGGGCCAGUCUGUGAAGAAUGGAGAGGAGGGAAAAGAAUGCCAGAUUCGUAUCCUGGAGUCACACUGAGUGGUGCGAGGAUGCCUUGCCCUGUCACUGGCCCCGCAAGCUGGCAUCCUGACAGUUGUAGAUAUUUGAUAUGUAUCAGAGCCCAAAAGACCUUCCUAGUGACCCAGAAGGAUGAUCUCGUACAUGGAGAAACGGAAGCCUGGAGACAGAGCUAGACUCGUUCCAGUAAACUGGAUUCCCGAGGGUUUUCUAAAGCUCUGCAUCUAUUUGUUACCAGCGCUGCGACUCUGUCACCCGCCCCUCCCAACUCCAGUUUCCUCACGGACAAGGAUCUCUCACACGUGAAACUCUCCAUUCCAGCGAGGCUGACUGCCCAGUGGCUGCUCAGGACCUGCCCUUCUCUGCUCCACACCAGUAAGGUUACAGAUGCAUCUGUACAGACACGGCUGGUUUUGCACAUGGGUGCUGGAGAUUCAUUCCUGGGUCCUUGUGCUUACAGAGCAAAGCUCUUGCCCUCUGCACCCUCCUCACGCCCUGGACAUUUCUGAAGGUGAUUAAUUCACCACGAACGUGCUGGAUCUUUUUCUCAGCUCUGCCCUGUUUGUGAUUCUGCCCUGAACCUGGGUCUGAACUCUGGAAAAUGACAUGUGUGUUCUCCCUCCCUCCCUCCCUCCCUCCCUCCCUCCCUCCCUCCCUCCCCAGUUCUGUUUGAUCUGGAGGCUGAGCUGGGGAGAGGUGAGGAUCACAGAUUCAAGCAAGCCAGUGACUACAAGAAGAAACUUGCUGGUAUUUGCCUUAUCAGGAAGUUUUCAAGGGCUUCCAAGAACUAUGGGGGCUGUGGGGGUAGGGUCAGGAAAGGGCACAAAAUGCAGGCUCACAGUGCUGAAAGAAAUUUCAGAAUUGAGCUAGUGCAGUCUCUCUGACCCAGGCCAUGUUUGCUGGGUUGAGUAUGGAGCUCAGACACAAUCAGGAGAAUCUUGACUCCGCCCUUGGAACAUCUACUGUUUUCUGCAAGGAUGCUGGAGCAGUAUCCCUUUAACAGGUGGAUCAGAGACCUGUUUGGGGCAGUGCUAAAUCCUCACUAUAGACUUCAGCCUUUCCCUUUCACCUACUGGAGACCGACUUUCUCUAGAAUACUCGGAAGAAGGUUUGCAAUACAUCUUCUUCCUGUCCUAUAUCUUCACUGCAGAGGUCGGGACCGUGAUGGCUGAGCAAGACCUCAGGGUCUGACACAUACCGAGUGAGUGAUGCUGACCGGAAAGACAGCAUGACAGGCACCUGAGCCUCUAGUGCAGCCAGCAUCCUCCACUGAGCCUUCUCUCCCUACAGGGACUGCCAGUUAGGGGAUGUGGUCAUGCUUCAACCGUUCAGCUUGUUUGCCUGCUUAGUGCUCUCGAAAGACCAAAGCUAACAAGAAUCCCUCCCUUAAGUCAAACUGGUCCUUCCUCUAGAGCCUCCAAACCUCCACAGCUGGCAAGAGUGAUCUCAGGAAACCAGACAACAGUAAAUCAACAUUUGGAGGCAUGUAGGUAUUAUCUUAGCUGUAGGGGAAGGUAGCCUAUUGGAGAGGCUGUGGAGGUGCCUCAGUGCAAGCAUGAGGUUCUGAGUUCAAAUUCCCAGAACUCAUAGGGGGAACAAUGGACGUGGCAAUGUAUGCUUGUGGCCCCAGUGCUGUGGGAGCGGAGGCAGGAGGACUGGUGUGGGCUUUCUGGCCACUAGCCCAGCCCUAGGGUCAGUGAGAAUCUCUGUCUCAGGGGAGUAAGGUGGGAAGUGAUGGGGCAGAGCAGACAAUGUCUGUGGCUGGCCUCUGUUUAAGCACAAGGGUCCAUAUACUCCAGAAAUAUGCACACAUACAUGCACACACACAUAUGCAUGCACAUAUACACACGCACACACGUGUAUUCACAUAUAUGCACAUGGAUACACUCAUACAUGCACACACAUCACACACAUGCAUGCACACACAUGUAUUCACGCAUACACACACACAUGUAUUCAUGCAUACACACACACAUGCAUGCACACACAUGUAUUCACGCAUGCACACACAUACACACACACACACACACACACACACACACACACAGGGUCCUAUCACAGCAACUAGGAGGCUAGAGAUGCGUGGGGCUUACUUUGAUGGCGAUACCCUCUCCUGUCUAUCCUCCUGGGACGAUGAGCACUACAUCCACUUACUUCUCAGUGUAAGAUGCAUGAGUCAUUUUUGCCUCUCUAUUUCCUGAUGGGGUUGAUGCCCUCCUCACAGGGCACUGAGCUGAUGAGGUGACAAUCUAACCCCCUACUUAGGGUCCCCCAUUGAAAGUUUACUAUGACAGCUUCUUCCCUUUUGGUAUGAGAGUUCAAUUCCUUGCCCAGGCGUGUCUCCCAAGAAAGUUGGGUUGUACUCACAAUUGCAAUGCUUGCCCACAGUCCACCUGCCCACAAGGCUACUUACUGUAUUUUCUUGGUGAAGUUCUUGGAGACAAUCCCACCUUCCUGCUGCUUCUCUUCAUGUUUGCCUGCAAGACAAGAACAUCACCGUAUGUUAGAAUCUGCAUCCCCUGGGCACCAUUCCGGAUAUGGGCUUGGAGUCAAAUCUGCUCCUGUCUUGCGUAGCUAGGGGGUGAUUCGGAGUUCAGGUUUUGAGUCUUAGGACUUUGGAGUAGAGACUCAAGCCCACCUCCCAAGCUAGCUGAAGAUGAGCUAAUCUGAUAGGCAGGAAAGAGGACUUUGGCCAGUUUGAUGGCAAUUCAAUGUUAAACUGGGACACCUGCUCCCUAACUUCCAGCCUUCCACUUAACCCCUACCCACUAGCCGGCAGCCAUAGCAGGUUCUGAGAGCUUAGCAUCACAGAUGGGUCAAUGAGGUGGAAGGAAGGAAGAGCCGAAGCCACAUCUGGGACUUCUUGGCCAUCCGGCAUCCUUCCCUGGUUCUGCAGAUCAACUUCGUUCUCCUGUUGUUAUUGAAAUACGGACUGAGUGGGUUGGAGGUCACCCAGAAAGGAGCAUGACCACGCUGGGCUUUAAUCGGUUCUCACUGGAUCAAGGCCAAAUGCUGUGGCCUCCUACUCCUCUUGCUCUUAGACUUGCAGCGAGUAAGCCUUCUGUACCACCUUAUCCUGGACAGCCUUGCUUCAAUGCUUCAAGAUGCUGGACACACCCAGACUCAGCUCUCAGAGGAGCCACAGGAUAAGAGAGGCAGAGAUUCUACAGCCCCACCUCCCAGGGGCUCCUUCGCCCAGUUAUGGAGGAGAAGAUGAAAUUACAAGAAGGAUUAGUGCCUGGCUCAGCCACCCUUCUGCCCUUCCCACUCCCUUUUGAAGCUGCAUUCCAGAGCCUAGGCGCCACCUUCACACACAGGAGCUUCAUAAAACAGACUAUAAAUACCCAGGGGGGGAUUACAGCAUCGUGUGGAGGUCCAAAGCGUCUUCAACUCGUCAUUUACAGGGAGUAAAGAUAUACUGACUGGAAUCCACUUUUAAAACUGCUGUGUCUGGAGGCCAGAAGGCUCUAUCCUGUGGCUGUGCUAUCAACCAAGAGGUCAUUCUGUUCUCUGUGACAGUUUCCUGCCCUGCCUCAGUGUGGGCCUGUGGGUCUGUUCUCUGUUCCCCUCCCUGAGGCCUGGGCCUCUGAGGAGCCUGCUUCCACUGGGGACAGGCCAGGGCCUCUGACUCAGCUCUUCUCCACCCUGUCUUCCGUCUGCCAGUCUCAUAACUGCCGGAGGCGAUGAUGAAGAAGAUGAAGAACUAACAGCCAGCUCAACAGACAUCAUCAACAUACAGUCUUUGCAUAGACUCUUUUCCACUCUGUCUACCAUGCUGCUGUUGUGUGUGUCAGUUCAAUAAAUGAUACAAGGUAGUCAAUGCUUUGUAACAAAGUCAGCGGGGUGUGAGGUAAUUUUGACUAACAGUAGGCGGGUUUCAGACAGGCAAGGCCCUGUCGUGGCAUUAAAUAGGUCAGGUUUAUCGACUGCAUUUUCAACUUGAGAUACUUUGCAUAUAAGAUGGGGUCUCGGGGGUCCUGGUACCAUAGUAAGCGAAGGGACACCCGCGUAGGCUAGGCCCAGUGUCAGUCUCUGUUCUCAGCAACUCCUGUAAGCAGGGACUUUAUUGCCAGCACUGAGUGGAUAGAGAAAUAGAAACUCAGAGGGGCUCCGUAAAUCCGUGGCCACAUCACUCUGAACAUGCCUGCCUGAUCCAGUGACGUGCCUGAGCUCACAGAGCAAAGAUUUGGAAGCAGAGGAUAGCAGCGUCCAGAGAGCCAGAUGCUAACCCCUGCUUAGACACUUCCUGACAGGGUCCUACCCUUCUCUGGGUCUCCGUGUAUUCUCUAAAAUGUGAAAAAUGGCCUUACUGGAGCUCUGGGAGACGCAAUGGAGUAAGUGAGGCCCAUGGCUCUCGCAAGCUGCGCAGGUGAACCUAAAACAUCGAUGUUUAAGAAAAUGGUGAAUCCUCAGAAGUGCAUGGAUCCUGCCUAUGCUCUGAAAAUGGGGUGCAGGCUGAAGGGACGGAAGGCCUCUGAGCAGGAAAGACUCCAAGAUUACUAGGAAGGAAAUGUGUGAGGGGAGGGCAGUGGAGUUAAAAGAGGUGGGUCAGCCUCGUGGCUAAUCUGCAUAUCGUUUGCAUACAUUUGCAUGCAUUUGCAUGCUGGACUUGCUUGUUGUUCCUCUGAUGUUAUACCAGCAAGUAUAACUUAUUAUGCUUUAUUAUAUAAUUUAUUUACAUUGUUAAUUAAU